rnacentral:rRNA from 1 species
UACGAAGGGGGCUAGCGUUGCUCGGAAUCACUGGGCGUAAAGCGUGCGUAGGCGGUUCGCUGUGUCCGAUGUGAAAGCCCCGGGCUUAACCUGGGAAUGGCAUUGGAAACUGGCGGGCUUGAGUGCGGCAGAGGGGGGUGGAAUUCCGCGUGUAGCAGUGAAAUGCGUAGAGAUGCGGAGGAACACCGAUGGCGAAGGCAGCCCCCUGGGUCGACACUGACGCUCAGGCACGAAAGCGUGGGGAGCAAACAGG